ACCAGGAAAUUAUGAGGAAAGGAGAUUAAACAAUUGUUACAUCAUUCACGGAUCCCCACUUCAUUCCACACAAAGUGGGGAUCAGUUAGUUGAUGUUUGCACUGGUGUAACGGUUAUGAUCUCUUAGUUUGUUUCCAGAAAGUUCAAAACUCUUGAUGAACUCAUUCAGUCUCAUAGGGACUUUUUACUGCCAAAGGGCCAGGCUGUUAAAUCCCUCAUUUCCAGUAAACUGCUCAGUGAGGAGGAGGAGGAAGAGGAGAGAUAAAACAGUAAUGUCACUUCCAGGCACUUAACUUUCCCACCUUUAGGUUCCCUUUGGGAGCUAAUAAGAUGCAUUAUUUGCUCUUUAGAGAGAAAGGAGUUGGAGACAUCUAAUUUGUGUUUGGGUGUUACAUACAGCUGCAGUCAGACGUCUACAUCCACUCAUCAUCAACAUGAAUGUCAUAUUAAUUCAUUUCCAGGGUGAAAUGAAACUACCAUGUCCAAUAAGUAGAGUGGGUAGACAUCCAGGCUGCACGGUGGAUAGCGCUGCAGCAGGAAAGUCCCGGGUUCGAGUCCCAGCCUGGACUCCUUUUGGAUGGAGGUUACAUGUGUGGGUUCUCUCUGGGUACUCCAGCUUCUAACCAAAAACAUGAUUGUCAGGUUAACUGACUACUCUGUGUGGAUGUAAGGUUAUGUCUGAGCCUGUGUGAAUGUGACCAAAUCAACAAUACAUUCAAACUUCUUUUUAGAGCCUUUAAAACUGUUCACUGUAUAAUCAUGUAGUUCAAUAAACCAUCAAAUGCCAAAAAAAUGAACAUGCCAGUCAUGGACCUGAUGAGUAUGUAAACGUCUGACAGCAACUGUUUUGGCCUGUCCCUUAAUGAAGUACAAUAAGGAUCAGCCGACCAAUCACAGCAGGAUUUGGAGAAGGAUAGGUCUUAAAAGGACAGGUACAGAAACUGACAGUUUAGUUCAGGUAGAAGGUAACAAGCAGUGCUUCAUAAAUACCAAGAAAGAAGCAAAUUAUUAUGUUAUACAUAUAAAAUAAACUCUGCUUCCAGUAGAUCCUAUGAAUUAAAAUAAGGUAAGGAGAAUAGUAGGGACUCUACUUGUUUUUGAACUCUUACUGGCUGUCUCAUUAACUUUAGGAUGACUAAUUUCAGCAGCAUUUUGCGACGAUUCUUCCUCAUUAAUGGAGAUUUUAUCUGUGAGGAUGGAAAUACACACACAGGUGUGCAGAAAAGAUUUUGAAAGAGGUCCAUUGAAACUGAAGUUGAAAAGCAGGGCGAGCAGUGGAACGGGGUCCUGAGACUGCAGCACACAUUCAGGUCACGUUAGCAAGUUGUUUGCUGUCUGGAGCAACGUUGGUAAAGAUGUUGAAGGAGCCUAAUGUCUGGGAGGACUUUCAACCCCAGUUUGGAUAAACAAGCAACACAGGUCAGUGAAUAAACAAGACAUUUUUAGCAGCAACAGGAUAUCUGGGAUUUUCUGGCUCAUUAUUCUUACUAAUUAACUAAAAGGCCUGAGUCAUGGUGAACAUUCGCAUCUAAAUAAAGACAUGAAUACUACUCUGUGCUGCAGGAUUUCCUGGAGAUCAGGAUCAGCCUAUUUUCCCUAAAUCAGUGAUCAGCAGGUCAAAUACUAAAAACAUUUUUUUCUGUUUCUUAAAUGCCUCAAAACUAAAAACUCUAUAAAUGCAUCACGUUUAGAUGUUUUUAUGCAUAAAUAGGGAUCACUUCUAAAUCUUCAGUUGGAUUCAAAACUCCUAACUCUUUUAAAUAACCUGAAGCACAUUUUUUCUCUCUUUUACAUGUUCAAGUCUUGUGAAAAAACAUCUGAAGGGAUUGAAAUUGAAAUCAGCAGGUAAGACCUAGAAGAAAGCUAGAAAUCAGCAUCGGCCGGAGAAAGCCUGAAGACUGAACUAGAGCUUAAGACUUUUAAAAUAUAAGGAUACUGUCAAGAGGAGGCUGAAGGCUUUUGGACACUCCUGUAACUAAACUGUAACGGAAAGGAGGAACUAACAGGUGAUAAAGAAUAAUCUACGAAGGAAUUUACCUUGUUUUUGUCUUGGACGACCAGAACUUUUCCAGCGGACUCAUCAACGACCGCACCUUGAGAAGGAAAUCAGAAUAAUUCAUUCUAAACAUGGUUUUUUUCCCUGCAGGUGGUGACUAAGAGAAGCAGCUAUGUGCUGCUGAUGACAGCUCUGAGUGUAGACGACUGAGGAGGAGAAGGAGAAGGAAGGAAAACGGGCCGCUGUCUGUUCGGUGAAUGAAUGUCCCACGCAUGUAAAGAUGGAUGGGUUGUCCUAAAAGCCCGACUUGGACUUGCAAGUGGAAAUUGAUGUCAUCCGCUAUGCUUGUGCCAUGUGAUGCGGGAGGAGGAGGCCUGGUUUCUGUUCAGAGAGGCUAUCAUUAAGUAGGCCUCAACCCCAGAGACAGGAAUGAAAAGAAGAAUUACAGUAUGAGUGAAAAGGAUUCUAAGUCCCGUAGAAAGAAAAUGUAGGCAACUUUAGUUAGACCUGAAUGAGGACCUAGAAGAGGGAAUUGUUGCUGAAAUGCGUGAUAAAAUAUCUUAAAUAACAGCUUUUAUGUUAGUUAUACUCAGUUUUACAAUAAUUAUAGGCUCACUUGAUCUUUUCCUCUGGCAGAUUAUGCAGGCUAGCGUUGAAAGUUGUUAUACUGGAACCAUCCCUAUCCUGAACAGAGCCAAUAUGCAGGAUAUUGCUGUUAUUAACUCUGCUCUCUUAGCCAGAAAAUGCUCCUGGUGCUUCUGUCUUCGGUAUCUCUUUUCUGGCUGCCAUUUUGCUGCCAUUAACUUUGUGCUCUCUUUGCUUUUCUAACCAUAGAAAGUACACCUGGUCAAGUGUUCAGAGGUUUUUCUCUGACUUCUAUCUGUGCACCCAACCCCCAGCUGGUUGAGGCAGAUCAUCCCUCAUAUGGUUUCUGGUUCUUUCGCAGGUCUGUUUCGAUCAAAAGAGAGUGGCUCCACUCCACAGUCAUCACAUGCUUGUUCAGGAUGAGGGACUGCUGCAAAAUCCGUGACUUGAAGAUAUUACCAACUGGCAUUAAAGGAUUUACUGUAUCAGACUUUAUGAUUGCUUGGCCUGAAUUGAACUAAAUCUGACUAUAAAACUGGACUGAACUGGACUCUUUCUACUUGGAUAUGAAUUUGACCCGUUUAUCUUACACCUUGAGUACCUUGAGACAAUGAAGAUGACAACGGAAACUGAGCUGAGAAAAUUAGAACUCGUCACUAAAAUGAGACAUGUUUGAAGGCAGGACUGCUUUCUAAACACCAAGACAAGAAGUAAGAACCCAGAUAUGCAAAUCAUUGAAUUUAUGAUUCAUUUAGUGUUGUUUCAUAUUUAAAACAUCACUUUUGUUUUGUUGGAAACAGUUUUUGGCAACAAAACAGGGAUUUCUAUUCGAAGAGGAUGCUCUGGACAUGUUCUGACAUGCUUUGUGCAUCUACCCUUCAGUAAAUAAAUUAAAGUCACUCUGCCCUCUGCUGGAUGAUCACAAAACUAUCAACCAUCCCUUAAAAUUAUUAUUUGUAAAUGCUAAAAUGACAUGAUAAAAAAAACAACACUAACCCAUUUCUGGGAUGUGGUGGCUCUAUCACAGUUGGUUGCAGUCUAUGAACCAGAAAAGCUUGAGAUCACAGAUUAAAGUGGAUUGUGAAAAAUACGAUUAAAAAAAAAUCUGAAGAUUCGUUUUUGAGUAGAUUGUAGAAUUUCCUCUUUUCCAUGGCUUAGAAAAGUCAUUAGAAAACUGUUAAAGAUGAAGAUGUGCGCCUUGACAUAAGAUUUCCUUAUCAUGGGCAGUUUUAGACAGGGCCAGCAGAGGCCAGUGCCCUUGUUAUGAGCCCGGUACUGAAGGCACGAUCCUAAAUUUUCCUAAACUUUCUCAUUUUUUACCUUUACAGUUUUAUUUUAACAAUUAAUUAAAAACAAAGGUGUUGCACUUUUAGCUUCAGCCUUAUUGAGAUAGGAUCACAGUUUUAUUCUGCUAGAUUGCAGCUCCAGAGCCACUUUGGCUCUCUCUCUCACUUCAUAUAUGAAACAAUGAAAUAUUCCCAUUUUUUGCUUCCUUUAUUUGUCCUGUGCCCCCAUGAAAAAAAACCAAAAAAAAAAAAAACCACUGCCAAUUUGGUCUAGAACCGCCACUGUUCCCUAUCAACGUUAUUUCAGAUAUGAAACUGUUGAUUUAUUCCAACAACAAAAAUUGUUUCAGGGCA